rnacentral:rRNA from 1 species
AAUAGAUACCCGGGUAGUCCAUGCCGUAAACGUUGGGAACUAGAUGUGGGGACCAUUCCACGGUCUCCGUGUCGCAGCUAACGCAUUAAGUUCCCCGCCUGGGGAGUACGGCCGCAAGGCUAAAACUCAAAGGAAUUGACGGGGGGCCCGCACAAGCGGCGGAGCAUGCGGAUUAAUUCGAUGCAACGCGAAGAACCUUACCAAGGCUUGACACAUACCGGAAAGGUCUGGAAACAGUCCCCCCGCAAGGUCGGUAUACAGGUGGUGCAUGGUUGUCGUCAGCUCGUGUCGUGAGAUGUUGGGUUAAGUCCCGCAACGAGCGCAACCCUCGUCUUAUGUUGCCAGCGGUUCGGCCGGGGACUCAUAAGGGACUGCCGGGGUCAACUCGGAGGAAGGUGGGGAUGAGGUCAAAUCAUCAUGCCCCUUAUGUCCUGGGCUUCACGCAUGCUACAAUGGCCGGUACAAAGGGCUGCAAUACCGCGAGGUGGAGCGAAUCCCAAAAAGCCGGUCUCAGUUCGGAUUGAGGUCUGCAACUCGACCCCAUGAAGUCGG